rnacentral:misc_RNA from 1 species
UUUCUUUUUUUUUUUUUUUUGGUGGAUGUCCUCUUUCCAAUUCCUUCGCACCAAUGGCUAAACUAUUCCAGCAAAUGCAAGAUUUUAUAAGAAUUGGUGGUCUGCCUUAAAGUGUUAUAUAUCAAGUCAUAUUCAGCAUGAAUAACCUAGUAACAUGAAGUGUCACAUAUUAUAUCAGAAAAUCGUUGUUUUUCACACUAAGAGCAGUGAAUGAGAAUAGACUGUAGAGAACAAAUUCCGAUAGAUAUCAUACCUAUACAAUUUUACAAUGUGCAAUAUCAACACUUCAAAUUUAAAAGAUGCUAUGCAUCACAUCAAUGAUCAUUAGAUUGAAUGAUGAACAGAAAAAGAAAUACACCUUAUUUUAAUCGAUUAUCUUAGCCAAGAAAAAUAUUGAUUGGGGUUUCAUCCCAUGAUGUAUGAUAUGGUGCAUUGAUAGAAAAAGGAAAGGCUCACCUUUCGAAGUGUUUUGAUAAUUUUUUUCUUGAAACAAAACGUUAUGUUCUUAUUCUUGUUUGCAUUUCUUAUACAGGGGUUGCAUUCCUUUUUGAGUUUAUUGGCCAGUCACUCGCCAGAACAGACACUUUAAUCCUUCUUCAAGACAUGAUCAAGCUUUCUCUGUGGAUUCAAAUAACCUAAAUGCUAUGUAAAGUAAACCCUAGCCAUUAUCUGCAAAUCAACAGAUUCAAAAACCCAUUAUAGAUUAUGCUAGUAUUUUUUUUGUUCUACUUUCAAGUCCACAAACUCUUAACCACAUAAGGCUCUAUAUCCUAAUAUUUGCUUUGUGUUUUCAGAAUUGUAGACAAAGAAUUUCUUUGUGUUUGCAUUGCCCAACGGUAAAGGAUAGUCAAGGGUAGUAAGAAAGCAAAAGGUCUUAGGUAUUCUGCUCUUUUUGGUAUGGUGUGUUUUGUUUGAAGCAUAAAGCAAAAAUGUUUAAGAAACAUCAUUCUUGCCACCAUUAAUAUAGGAUAAGAAAGCAUUUCGUUUCUUUAACAGUUUUGAACUUGCGUAGCAGACAUGCAGAAGUAUUCAAAACCUCUUUGAUAACACUUCAAGUUUUUCUUGUUUGUUUCUUUAUCUGUAGAAGGAUUUCUUAUCAAUCUUAAAAUUUCCUGAACGACUAUCAAUCUUAACAGUUUUUCAUACCUAAAUAAGUUUUCAACUAGAUGGGUGUAAGAAUAUGGCCAGAAACGUUGAAACAUUCUAUCUAGUUAUCCACAAAUUGAAGUACAUGAUAAUUCAGUCAAUCACCUUAAAAUAAUA